rnacentral:rRNA from 1 species
AGAGUUUGAUCCUGGCUCAGGACGAACGCUGGCGGCGCGCCUAACACAUGCAAGUCGAACGAGAGAGAAGGAGCUUGCUUCUUCGAUCGAGUGGCGAACGGGUGAGUAACGCGUGAGGAACCUGCCUCAAAGAGGGGGACAACAGUUGGAAACGACUGCUAAUACCGCAUAAGCCCACAGGUCGGCAUCGACCAGAGGGAAAAGGAGCAAUCCGCUUUGAGAUGGCCUCGCGUCCGAUUAGCUAGUUGGUGAGGUAACGGCCCACCAAGGCGACGAUCGGUAGCCGGACUGAGAGGUUGAACGGCCACAUUGGGACUGAGACACGGCCCAGACUCCUACGGGAGGCAGCAGUGGGGAAUAUUGCACAAUGGGGGAAACCCUGAUGCAGCGACGCCGCGUGGAGGAAGAAGGUCUUCGGAUUGUAAACUCCUGUUGUUGAGGAAGAUAAUGACGGUACUCAACAAGGAAGUGACGGCUAACUACGUGCCAGCAGCCGCGGUAAAACGUAGGUCACAAGCGUUGUCCGGGAAUUACUGGUUGUAAAGGGAGCGCAGGCGGGAAGACAAGUUGGAAGUGAAAUCCAUGGGCUCAACCCAUGAACUGCUUUCAAAACUGUUUUUCUUGAGUAGUGCAGAGGUAGGCGGAAUUCCCGGUGUAGCGGUGGAAUGCGUAGAUAUCGGGAGGAACACCAGUGGCGAAGGCGGCCUACUGGGCACCAACUGACGCUGAGGCUCGAAAGUGUGGGUAGCAAACAGGAUUAGAUACCCUGGUAGUCCACACCGUAAACGAUGAUUACUAGGUGUUGGAGGAUUGACCCCUUCAGUGCCGCAGUUAACACAAUAAGUAAUCCACCUGGGGAGUACGACCGCAAGGUUGAAACUCAAAGGAAUUGACGGGGGCCCGCACAAGCAGUGGAGUAUGUGGUUUAAUUCGACGCAACGCGAAGAACCUUACCAAGUCUUGACAUCCUGCGACGGACAUAGAAAUAUGUCUUUCCUUCGGGACGCAGAGACAGGUGGUGCAUGGUUGUCGUCAGCUCGUGUCGUGAGAUGUUGGGUUAAGUCCCGCAACGAGCGCAACCCUUAUGGUCAGUUACUACGCAAGAGGACUCUGGCCAGACUGCCGUUGAUAAAACGGAGGAAGGUGGGGAUGACGUCAAAUCAUCAUGCCCUUUAUGACUUGGGCUACACACGUACUACAAUGGCGUUAAACAAAGAGAAGCAAGACCGCGAGGUGGAGCAAAACUCAGAAACAACGUCCCAGUUCGGACUGCAGGCUGCAACUCGCCUGCACGAAGUCGGAAUUGCUAGUAAUCGUGGAUCAGCAUGCCACGGUGAAUACGUUCCCGGGCCUUGCACACACCGCCCGUC